UACGAAGGGGGCUAGCGUUGCUCGGAAUCACUGGGCGUAAAGGGUGCGUAGGCGGGUCUUUAAGUCAGGGGUGAAAUCCUGGAGCUCAACUCCAGAACUGCCUUUGAUACUGAGGAUCUUGAGUUCGGGAGAGGUGAGUGGAACUGCGAGUGUAGAGGUGAAAUUCGUAGAUAUUCGCAAGAACACCAGUGGCGAAGGCGGCUCACUGGCCCGGUACUGACGCUGAGGUGCGAAAAGCGUGGGGGAGCAAACAGG
rnacentral:rRNA from 1 species